ensembl:lncRNA
CAUCUGAGUUUAUGCUAAUGAGGUGAUUUAGGGUGAGGCCCCUGGGAGGCCUCAGGUGGGGCCUCAGCUGAUCACAGAGACCCAGUGAUUAGAGGGUUGGAACUUGCAGCUCCCCCUCAACCCCUGAUAAGGAACUGAAGAUGAAAGCUCUAUAAAAACUAUAUAUUAAAGCACUUUGGAUAAGCGGAAUGCAGCUGCACAAAAGCAAGAUAAAGCUCAACCAUCAAGAUGAUGAACAAUCUGGAUGAAGAGCCUUCGAGAUGAACACAAAAGCUGGAGAUGUGCAGUUGAUGGAGGCCUGGACAGCUGAAGAAUGCUGUGGUCUAAGGAUGAAUAGCCCUCAUUUGUGAAUAUACAGAUUCUCCACAAUGAAUAAAAACUGAGUGGAGGUCACAAUAAAUAAACUUUUUCCCCCUUCUCCUUCAAUAAUAAUUCAGGUUCCCGGCACCAAACAGCUGUAAAUUGAAGGUUGUGCUUAGUUUUCUCAACUCUCAAAGGGGAUAAUUAAGCUAAGAUCACAUUGUUUGAUAUAUUAGUGUAAUGAUGAGCUACUAUAUUCUGCUUGUUUCGAGUUAUUUUAGUUUUUCUUUCCCAUUAUCUUUUUUUUAAUUACAUUUCAAAUACAUUUUAAAUGUAGGAACAGCAGUUCUGAAACAGAGUUUGCCCUGUGUUUGGAUCUGUUUGAAAUGUAUUCAUAUAACAUUUAAUUAAAGCGGCUACAUCCCCCUUUAGAAAAUGCGUGGAGGUAGAAAUAUCUAUAUUAUCUGACUAGUUCUGACACAAUCUUGCCAAAAGGCUGACUCUUUUUCCUUAUUGGUGCAAGAUAAUUAGACCAUCAUUAACCUCCUGAAGCAUCACUGUCAGUAUUUCUUGUGUUAUAAAAUCAGGAUUUGGGAAGAUUUUCAUAAUUUUGCUUAAGAUCACUGAGGAGGUAAAGAUCAGUUCUGAAACAUGCUCAGCUUAAAAGAUUUCUGAAAACCAGAAUCUGCAAGGCCUUUAUAAAGGAACUCAGCCCAAGGGAGAUGCUCCAGACGGCGUAUCUAUGCUCUUUAAUACACCCUUUCCUAUUUGUGAAAUUUUGACAAUAAAAAGGCCCAAAUACUGUUUUGUGUUUCACUAAUGGAGGUUAGAUUGUCAUUUUCUUCCAAUAAUUUUUGAGUUGAAAAUGUAUUGGAAAAUCUGAAUAUCUAUAUCAAGUAAAAAAGAGAAAUAUUACAUUUCUAGGAUUUUUUUUCUUUUUUUGAUAAUUAUAAAGUAUUCUUCAUUUAAAAGCAGAUUUGUGGCUUUUUGUUGUUGUUGUUCAUUUGAUCUGUUGAUUAUAGUUGAUUAUUUUUCCUAAGAAUUUUUCUAUUUCCCCCAAUUAAUCCCAACCAGAGUAGGUUCUGGCAUAUUCACACUCAGGAAGGUCUGUAGAUAUGAACCAGGUAUGGAAAACACUUUAUGAGCAGGAACACAGAAGCAUGGGGAAGAAUGGAGAAGCCACCUUGACUCCACUAUGAUCUAAGUCCCCCAAAAGAAGAGGGGCACUUCUUAAAGGUUCUCACCUGGGAGAACUAUCGAUCAAGGACAGCCCACCCAACGGCAUGAUGGAAAACCACUAUUCCUCAAGGCUCCUCCAAUCUACUCAGAAAAGCCCUAGGGAAAAGCAAUCAGUUAAAUGUCCUGUCUGAAUGUGCAACAGGAGAAAGCAAGGGCAAGUAAAAUAUAAGCCUGGAGUAGCCCCAGAAAGAGGAGUCUGAACCCAUGCACAAAGUGUACCUGAGCCAGAAUCCUCAGAUUCAAGGAGCCUUUUACUUCUUGGUAUCAAUAAACCAGUCAGAAGCAAAAGAAACGAGGCAGUAGCCUGAAACAAAGGCAGCCACUGCCACCUCUGUUUGCUGCCAUCUUGGGGCUGCUUUGAAAAGGAUCAUUGCCUCUAUUUGGAAAUGCUACACAGCUUUAGGCUAAGGAAGCUCAGUUUAGGAGCUCACCUGGGCCAAGAGAGAAAAGCUUUAUAAACUUUUAAGUACCGGGAGCAGACCAGAUCUGGAAAGAUACACGGGCCUGUCUGAAAACUCAAGCUAAUUAGCAUUUUUCUUACCUUUCUCCUUAAGAUUUGUUCAUUUUACCCACAAUUUAUUGAAUGUCUGCUAUAUCCUUGGUAGUUUUCCCGAUUACUGAAUUGAGCAGAGAAACAAAACAGGUCACGUUUCUAUAUGUUUCUACUUUCACAGAUCUUACAUU